GGCCUCAUAGCGUAAUGGUUAACGCGUUGCUUUCCGGUGGCAAAGAGUCCAGGUUCGAAUCCUGGUGGGGUCG